rnacentral:rRNA from 1 species
UACGUAGGGUGCAAGCGUUGUCCGGAAUUAUUGGGCGUAAAGAGCUCGUAGGCGGUUCGUCGCGUCGGCUGUGAAAUCCCGAGGCUCAACCUCGGGUCUGCAGUCGAUACGGGCGGACUGGAGUUCGGCAGGGGAGACUGGAAUUCCCGGUGUAGCGGUGAAAUGCGCAGAUAUCAGGAGGAACACCGGUGGCGAAGGCGGGUCUCUGGGCCGAUACUGACGCUGAGGAGCGAAAGCGUGGGGAGCGAACAGG